rnacentral:rRNA from 1 species
GAGAGCUUGCUUUCUAGAGACCGGCGGAUGGGUGAGUAACGCGUAUGCAACCUACCUUUUACAGGGGAAUAGCCCGGAGAAAUUCGGAUUAAUGCUCCAUGGUUUAUAAGAGUGGCAUCACUUAUAUAAUAAAGAUUUAUCGGUAAAAGAUGGGCAUGCGUAUCAUUAGCUAGUUGGUGUGGUAACGGCAUACCAAGGCGACGAUGAUUAGGGGUCCUGAGAGGGAGAUCCCCCACACUGGUACUGAGACACGGACCAGACUCCUACGGGAGGCAGCAGUGAGGAAUAUUGGUCAAUGGAGGCAACUCUGAACCAGCCAUGCCGCGUGCAGGAUGACGGUCCUAUGGAUUGUAAACUGCUUUUGUACGGGAAGAAAUGUAAUUACGAGUAAUUAUUUGACGGUACCGUAAGAAUAAGGAUCGGCUAACUCCGUGCCAGCAGCCGCGGUAAUACGGAGGAUCCGAGCGUUAUCCGGAAUUAUUGGGUUUAAAGGGUUCGUAGGCGGUUUAGUAAGUCAGUGGUGAAAUCUUGCAGCUUAACUGUAAAAUUGCCGUUGAUACUGCUAAACUUGAAUAGUAUGGAAGUAAUUAGAAUAUGUAGUGUAGCGGUGAAAUGCUUAGAUAUUACAUGGAAUACCAAUUGCGAAGGCAGAUUACUACGUACUUAUUGACGCUGAUGAACGAAAGCGUGGGUAGCGAACAGGAUUAGAUACCCUGGUAGUCCACGCCGUAAACGAUGGAUACUAGCUGUUCGGUCUUCGGAUUGAGUGGCUAAGCGAAAGUGAUAAGUAUCCCACCUGGGGAGUACGUUCGCAAGAAUGAAACUCAAAGGAAUUGACGGGGGCCCGCACAAGCGGUGGAGCAUGUGGUUUAAUUCGAUGAUACGCGAGGAACCUUACCAAGGCUUAAAUGUAGAUUGACAGGUUUAGAGAUAGACUUUUCUUCGGACAAUUUACAAGGUGCUGCAUGGUUGUCGUCAGCUCGUGCCGUGAGGUGUCAGGUUAAGUCCUAUAACGAGCGCAACCCCUAUUGUUAGUUGCCAGCGAGUAAUGUCGGGAACUCUAGCAAGACUGCCGGUGCAAACCGUGAGGAAGGUGGGGAUGACGUCAAAUCAUCACGGCCCUUACGUCUUGGGCUACACACGUGCUACAAUGGCCAGUACAGAAAGCAGCUACCAGGCAACUGGAUGCGAAUCUCAAAAGCUGGUCUCAGUUCGGAUUGGAGUCUGCAACUCGACUCUAUGAAGCUGGAAUCGCUAGUAAUCGGAUAUCAGCCAUGAUCCGGUGAAUACGUUCCCGGGCCUUGUACACACCGCCCGUCAAGCCAUGGAAGCUGGGGGUACCUGAAGUC